CCACAGUCUCACUUUGGCAACACAUAAGUUAAAAUUACACAGAUUAGCAAGGUCCCUGCACAAAGAAGAUAUGCAAAUCUGUGAAGCGUCCCACAUAUUU
ensembl:snRNA U6 U6 spliceosomal RNA